GACGAACGGUGCGAACGUUGUUCGGAAUCACUGGGCUUAAAGGGCGCGUAGGCGGGUCAUUAAGUCAAUGGUGAAAUCCUCCAGCUCAACUGGAGAACUGCCUUUGAUACUGGUGGUCUUGAGUGGGGUAGGGGCAUGCGGAACAAUGGGUGGAGCGGUGAAAUUCGUAGAUAUUCGCAAGAACACCAGUGGCGAAGGCGGCUGGCUGGUCCGGUUCUGACGCUGAGGCGCGAAAGCGUGGGGAGCAAACAGG
rnacentral:rRNA from 1 species